GAUGAACGCUGGCGGUAUGCUUUACACAUGCAAGUCGUACGAGAGUUUUGAACUCAAGUGGCGGACGGGUGAGUAACACGUAAGAAUUUGCCUUUAGGAGGGGGACAACAACUGGAAACGGUUGCUAAUACCCCAUAUGCUUUCGAGUGAAACGGUUUUUCCGCCUAAAGAGAAGCUUGCGGCUGAUUAGCUUGUUGGUAAGGUAAUGGCUUACCAAGGCGACGAUCAGUAUCUGGUUUGAGAGGACGAUCAGACACACUGGAACUGAGACACGGUCCAGACUCCUACGGGAGGCAGCAGUGGGGAAUUUUCCGCAAUGGGCGAAAGCCUGACGGAGCAAUACCGCGUGAGGGAUGAAUGCCUAUGGGUUGUAAACCUCUUUUUUCAGGGAGGAAUCAAUGACGUUACCUGAAGAAUAAGCAUCGGCUAACUCCGUGCCAGCAGCCGCGGUAAGACGGAGGAUGCAAGUGUUAUCCGGAAUCACUGGGCGUAAAGCGUCUGUAGGUGGUUUGAUAAGUCAACUGUUAAAUCUUGAGGCUCAACCUCAAAACCGCAGUCGAAACUA
rnacentral:rRNA from 1 species